GGAGCAGACCAUGCGGUCGCCCCGGUGUUUGCGGCAACACACCGCUGCCGGGGAGGAAAGUCCGAGCUCCGCAUGGGCAGGACGGCUGCUAACGGCAGCCGGGGGCAACCCCAGGGAAAGUGCAACAGAAAUCAUACCGCCGCACGGUCACGCUGUGAGGUAAGGGUGAAAUGGUGAGGUAAGAGCUCACCGCCUCCUGUGGCAACACAGAAGGCAGGUAAACCCCGUCCGGAGAAAGGUUGAAUAGGGCUUGCUUUUCGGGCUGCCCGCCCGAUUCCUUAGCGUUUAAAGCGAGGCAGGCCGGGUACCAACCGCACAAGGCAGCAGAGCGAUCUCUGUCUCAGAUGAAUGGCCGCGCAACACAGAACUCGGCUUACGGUCUGCUCUUAUU
rnacentral:RNase_P_RNA from 3 species